GAGACAACGUGGCUGUUCUUAAUCAGCUUUUCCCAGUGGGAGGAAGUCCUGUUUCCUUUGGAUUCCAGCUCUCCAUCAUUGUUCACCUGUAAGAUGAAGAACAUCAAAACUUGUCCUAAUUCUGCUCUCCUAGCAAUUCAUGAAUGAUUCCACUGAAGAUAUUGAAUAAUAUUGAAGAAAAAUAUGGAAGAUCAUGGGACAUUCUUAGUUUAAACAUCUUGUCUGAUAAUGAAGUGAAAACUGGUCCCUUUGGCCAUGUGAGGACACCCACUGCACAUUUCCAGUCUCCUGCUGCCUCUGACAAGUUUGUGGCAUGCACCAACUGCUUGACCAGGGCAAGCUUAAGCUAAUUCCAAUGUGAAAUAUACAUCAGCAAUCAUCAAUUAAAAAUUCUUGGCAAAGUUAAGCAAUGCUGAAUCUGUCCCCUGGGUUAUAACUCAUGUGCUCUACAACAAUUAUGGGAAAACAACCUGUUAAGAAUAUAGACAUUAAGGUCAUUUAUUAGGUAACUUACAUAGGAAUUUUGUUGUUGUUAUUUUAAGGGAAGAGUUUUCCCUGAGAAACCCAGAUGCCUCAUUCAUAGAAAAAAAAAUGGUGACACCAGAAAAACAUUUCAUCUCUUGGCUAUACAGUUCUGAAAUCCUGAGAGUGAAUUCUUUUGAUCUCCAUUCUCUGGAACACAGGGCACCUGUAAAGCAGACCCAGCCACAAAUGAAAACCACAUAAAUGAAAGGCAAAUAUGGAUAGAAUUAGUACUCACAACUUGCAACAUAUGUUGAGUAAGAGCUUUCUCUGUGGUCAGAGCCUGCAGACAUUCUAUUCUAAAAAGUGUCCAGCUCCUGUCCACUUGUAUUUUUGAUCAGAUUUGUGAGAGGUUUUUUGGUUUUUGUUGUUUUUUUUUUUUUUUUGCUUUAGUUUUUCCUUUUUCUUUUUUCCUGGCUGCAACUCAACAAAUAUAGAAAAACUUUAAUUUAUUUACUGUUUCAGAGAUUGUGAUCUAUAUCCUUCAACUGUACUCCAUUCCUGCCAAAUAUAUUGACAAUGGAAAAAUGUGUAAUGGGCACAAAGAAACUUGCUGGAAGAGAUAAAGUUUUACCAGUUGCUACUUUAUUUAAUGUUCUACCUAUUACCAAAGCACUUGAUAGUUCAAUACAAUCAACUCUCUAUAUAUUAUUUUAAAAUGAAGAUGACUGGGGAUCCCUGGGUGGCUUAGCGGUUUAGCGCCUGCCUUUGGCCCAGGGCGCAAUCCUGGAGUCCCGGGGUCAAGUCCCACGUCGGGCUCCUGGCAUGGAGCCUGCUUCUCUCUCUGCCUGUGUCUCUGCCUCUCUCUCUCUCUCUCUAUGUCUAUCAUGAAUAAAUAAAAUCUUUUAAAAAUAAAUAUAAAUAAA
rnacentral:lncRNA from 1 species